rnacentral:rRNA from 1 species
AGCAGCCGCGGUAAUUCCAGCUCCAAUAGCGUAUAUUAAAGUUGUUGCAGUUAAAAAGCUCGUAGUUGAAUUUCGGGAUUGGCGCAUCGGUCGUGCCUCACGGGGUAUGAACUGGUGCAGUCAAUUUCUCACCUUCUGGAGAACCGCGAUGUCCUUAAUUGGGUGCCGCGGGGAACCAGGACCUUUACUUUGAAAAAAAUUAGAGUGUUUAAAGCAGGCAUUUUUGCUUGAAUACAUUAGCAUGGAAUAAUAAAAUAGGACGGCAUGGUUCUAUUUUGUUGGUUUCUAGGACCACCGUAAUGAUUAAUAGGGAUAGUUGGGGGCAUUAGUAUUCAAUUGUCAGAGGUGAAAUUCUUGGAUUUAUUGAAGACUAACUACUGCGAAAGCAUUUGCCAAGGAUGUUUUCAUUAAUCAAGAACGAAAGUUAGGGGAUCGAAGACGAUCAGAUACCGUCGUAGUCUUAACCAUAAACUAUGCCGACUAGGAAUCAGACGAUGUUAAUUUUUAAUGACUCGUUUGA